rnacentral:lncRNA from 1 species
UAGGUUUAAAGAAAAAGGCCAGUACCUCAGCUUAUGUGAGCUGGAGGGAAAUUUAUAUAUACAUAGACAGAUGCACACCUAUUUUUCAAAAGACUGAGGUUAUGCAUUAAGUUAGUAUAUCUUUCAGCUUGUUGUGCACACAGAAGUAGAUGGAUAAAUAAUUUUACAGAAAUGGCAAAAAUUAUAUCUUCUGACAAUAAGAAAAGUAUCUUCUCAAGGCUCCCGUAGGGGAACAGAAAAGUGAAUACUAACUACUAAAUGGAAGAAUGUUUGAUGCAUCCAAUCCAUGUGACGUUACUGAGAGAUGCAAGGUGCUCUAGCUGCUGUUUCCUCCAGUCGCCGUGCAACUUCCAUGCACCAACACUUGCUGGAUCUGACUAA